rnacentral:rRNA from 1 species
UACGAAGGGGGCUAGCGUUGCUCGGAAUCACUGGGUUUAAAGGGUGUGUAGGCGGGCUUUUAAGUCAGUGGUGAAAUCUCCGGGCUCAACCCGGAAACUGCCAUUGAAACUGUAAGACUUGAGGACGAGAGAGGUGAGUGGAAUUCCCAGUGUAGAGGUGAAAUUCGUAGAUAUUGGGAAGAACACCAGUGGCGAAGGCGGCUCACUGGCUCGUAUCUGACGCUCAGGCGCGAAAGCGUGGGGAUCAAACAGG